rnacentral:tRNA from 1 species
CUGGGGAUGCUCAGUGGUAGAGUGCUUGCCUAGUAUGCAUGAGGCACUGGGUUCCAUCCUCACCACCACA